rnacentral:lncRNA from 1 species
CAUAAUGCCCUCAAGGCCCAUUCAUAUUUUAGCAAAUGGCAGGAUGUCCUCCUUGCUCAGGGCUGACCAACAUUUCACUGUAUAGAUGAACCACAUCUUUAUCCACUCGGGAUUGUUUUCUUAAUUUGGGGGGAAUUGUACUUUUACAUGUUGAUCUUGUAUCCUACAACUUUACUGAAUUCAUGUAUUAGUUCUAACAGUUUUUUGGUGGGGUCUAGAAGGUUUUCUAUGAAUAGUGUCAUGUGCUCUCGAAACAAAUAAUUUUACUUCUUCCUUUCUUACUUGGAUUUUUUUUUAUUUCUUUUUCCUCUAACUGCUCUGGCUAGAACUUUAGAUACCAUGUUGAAAAGAAGUGGCAAGAGUGGGCAUUCUUGUCUUAUUCCUAAUUUUAGAAAAAAGCUUUAACAUUUUCAUCAUUAGCUGUGGGCUUGUCAUACACAGCCUUUAUUAUGUUGAGGUGAUUCCUAGUUUGUUGAACAUUUUUCUCAUGAAAAGGUGUUGAUUUCUGUCAACAGAGAAUUGCUAAAGCAAUCCUGAGAAGAAGAACAAAGCUGAAGAUAUCACUUCCUGACUUCAAAAGGUAUUACAGGAGUUCCCGCUGUGGCAUAGCAGAUUAAUGAUCUGGCUUGUCUCUGUGGUGGCGCCGGUUUGACCCCAGCCUGGCACAGUAGGUUAAGGAUAAGGCUGCAGCUGUAGCUCUGAUUCGAUCCCUGGCCCAGGAUUUUCCAUAUGCUGCAAGUGCGGCCGAAAAAGAAAUAUAUAUAUGCUACAAAGCCACAGGAGUUAAAACAUGGCACUCAUAUAAAAACACAUCUAUAGGCCAAAAGAACAGAUAGAUAGUCCAGAAAUAACUGUGCAUAUAUAGUCAACUGAUCUUUAACAAAGGUGUUGAGAAUACACACUGGGGAAAAAGUAGUCCCUCAACAAAUGACGUCGAGAAAAUUAAAUAUCCACAUAAAAAAAACUGAAAUUGGAUUCCCUACCUUAUACCAUACACAAAAAUCAGCUGCAAAUGGUUUGAAGACUUAAACUUAAGACCUUAAACUGUAAAACACCUAUAAAAAAAACUCAGGGGGAAAUAUUCUUGACAUUGGAGUUGGCAAUGAUUUCCUGCAUAUGAUACCAAAAGGAAAAACAGACAAGUGGGACUAUUUCAAAACUCCUACAGGAGCUAUAAAAAAAGCUCCUGCGUGGCAAAGGAAACCAUCAACAAAAUGAAAAAGCACCUUACAGAAUGGGAGAAAAUAUUUGCAAACUGUUUAUCUGAUAAGCUUAUAAUUUCCAAAACAUAAAAGUCUUCCUACAACUCAAUGGAAAACCCCAAAUAACCUGAUUAGGAAAUCAUCAAAGGACUGGAACAGACAUUUUUCCAAAGAUGAUAUACGAAUGGUCAACCCAUAUAUGAAAAGAUGCUCAACAUCAUUAUUAGGAAAUGCAAAUCAAAACUACAAUGAGGUAUCACUUCAUAUUUAUUAGGAUGACAAUUAUUAAAAAAAACACAUAAAGGAUAAAACUGUUGGCAAAGAUAUGGAGAAACUGGAGAAGCCCUUAUACACUGUUGGUGGGAAUAUAACACAGUGCAGCAGUUGUGGAAAACAGUACAGUGGUUCCUCAAAAAAUUAAAAACAGAACUACCAUAUGACCCAGCAAUCUCAGUCUUGGGUAUACACCCAAAGAACUGAAAUCAAGAUUUCAGAGAGAGAUGUUCACUCCCAUGCUAACUUCAGCAGCAUUAUUCACAACAGCCAAGAUUUGAAAACAAUCCAAGUGUCCACAGACAGAUGUAUGACUAAAGAAAAUGUGUUGCAUACAUACAAUAGAAUAUUAUUUAGCAUUAAAAAGAAGAAAACCCUUGCCAUUUGUGACAUGGAUGGACAUGUCACAACAGGACAACUACUGCCCGAUUUAUGUGGCAUCCGUAACAGUCAAAAAAAAAAAGAGGCAGAGAAUAUAAUGGAGGUUGCCAAGUGCUGAAAGGUAGGGGCACUGGAGGACUGUUGUUCAAUGGGUAUAAGGUUUCAGUCAUGUAAGAUUUAGUUCCAGAGAACUGCUGUACAACACUGUGCCUAUAGUCUACAAUACGGUGUUGUGCACUUGGGUAGAUCUCAUAUCAGGUAUUUUCAACUGCAAAACAAGUCAAAAGGACACAAGGAAACUUUGGGGAGUGUAGGAUCUGUUACUUUGAUUGUGGUGACGGUUUUACAGAUGUUUGCACAGGUCCAAACUCAUCAAAUUAUAGCCAUUAAAUAUGUACAACUGUUUAUUAUCAAUUAAAUAAAGUUGUUAAAAAAUCUCAAGGUAGGGCAGGAUCAAGGAGGAGGAGGAGUUCACCUUCUCCCACCAACACUUCAAAAAAGCCCCAUCUAUAUGUGGUACAAUUCGUACAGAACAUCUACUGAAUGCUGGCAGAAGACCUCAGAGUACCAAAAAGAGCAAGAAACCCUCUUCAUAACUGGGCAGAACAAAAGGGGGAAAAAAAAAGAGAAAGAGAGAAGAGAAAAAAAGGAAUCAGGAUGGGACUAGCAUGCCUGAGAGAGAGCUCUUAAAGAGGAAAGGUAUCUGCACCCUGGGAGGCCACCUGACUAAUAGGAAGAUCAGCUAGGAGAGAGGAAGAGCCUCAAAGCCUUGGAGAAAAGCUCAGCAGCUGAUCUGAGGAGAGCAAAGCAGACAGAGAGCUGCUUAGAUGAUCAGAAUCACUGCCCAGAGCACCACAGCCUGGGACACUCAGGUGGUGGCUGGACAUUGAGACUUGGGCUAUGGAGGUUAGAUGCAGGGAAAGGACUGGGGCUGGCUGUGUGCAAACAGCCUGAGGGGGCUGGAGAGCAGUGCACCACAGCUGAGGGAAUGUGGAGGGGAGGGUUGGGCCCACCAGAGAAACAAGGCACCAUUAUUGGAAGGGCAAGAGGGGGAAAAGCAGGAACUUCUUUCUCUGGGCAUGGGCAGGAUCUCAGGUGGCAUGGCACAACUUGCAUGAGCUAUAGGGGUGGCUGCAAACCGCUGUAGCCAUCUUGGACUUCAGGGGUGGGCAAAGCCCACACUACUAAGGGUCCCAUGAAGAGGCACUGCCUGGGGCCACAAUCACCUCUGGGACUGCCACUGCAGAGAGCCCUGCAACCAAGUGCUGCCCAUGGCCCUCACCUCUGGGAAUGCACAUGUAUUGCUGCUGCCACCAAGGGGAUCGGGGUGCCGCCCCAACCUCCCUAAGGGUCACUACCAUGGAUGAGGGCCCUACAACCAAGAGUAGACUACUACCCCCACCUCCCCAUGGGUUGACACCACUGCCAAGGGCCCAGUGACCAGGUGCUGCCUGCAGGCCCUGCCUACACCUCCCUGGAAGCAUGUGCAGGCCAAACACUUGCACACUCGCUACCAAGGGGAUAACGUCCAGCACACACUGAGGAAAAAGACAGAAACCAUCGAAGCCAAAAGAAGCCUUCAUGCCAAAAAUCAGUAACAUUCACAAGCUAUCCGGGAAUGCUCCUGCAUAUAAAUAGCCCUCUAAGACAAUAGUAGACAAUUAUUUUCCUUAAAUUCACAGAGUAAGAGAAAUAUAAGCAAGAUGAAAAAGCAGAGGAACCAUUCUGAGUUCAAAGUAUAAGAGAAUUCCCCUGAAGGAGCAAACAAUGAAACAGGCCUCUUCAGUCUGGAUUUCAAAAGGAGGUAAUGAAAAUACUGAAGAAAUUCACAAAGGCCAUGGACAGAAAUGCAGAUUACUGUACAAAGAAACUAGAAACUAUGAGGAGGAGCCAAGAUAAAUUAGAAAAUUGAUUUGCUGGAGUUCCCGUCGUGGCGCAGUGGUUAACGAAUCCGACUAGGAACCAUGAGGUUGCGGGUUCGAUCCCUGCCCUUGCUCAGUGGGUCAAGGUUCUGGCGUUGCCGUGAGCUGUGGUGUAGGUCGCAGAUGCGGCUCGGAUCCUGCGUUGCUGUGGCUCUGGCAUAGGCUGGCAGCUACAGCUCCAAUUCGACCCCUAGCCUGGAAACCUCCAUAUGCCGCGGGAGCGGCCCAAGAAAU